rnacentral:rRNA from 1 species
CCUACGGGAGGCAGCAGUGGGGAAUAUUGGACAAUGGGGGAAACCCUGAUCCAGCGACGCCGCGUGAGUGAAGAAGUAUUUCGGUACGUAAAGCUCUAUCAGCAGGAAAGAAAAUGACGGUACCUGACUAAGAAGCCCCGGCUAACUACGGGCCAGCAGCCGCGGUAAUACGUAGGGGGCAAGCGUUAGCCGGAUUUACUGGGUGGAAAGGGAGCGUAGACGGCAGCGCAAGUCUGGAGUGAAAUGCCGGGGCCCAACCCCGGAACUGCACUGGAAACUGUGAAGCUGGAGUGCAGUAGAGGGAAGCGGAAUUCCUGGUGUAGCGGUGAAAUGCGUAGAUAUCAGGAGGAACACCGGCGGCGAAGGCGGCUUACUGGACUGUAACUGACGUUGAGGCUCGAAGGCGUGGGGAGCAAACAGGAUUAGAUACCCCAGUAGUC